GGGUUGUGAGGUUAAGCGACUAAGCGUACACGGUGGAUGCCACGGCAGUCAGAGGCGAUGAAGGACGUGCUAAUCUGCGAUAAGCGUCGGUAAGGUGAUAUGAACCGUUAUAACCGGCGAUUUCCGAAUGGGGAAACCCAGUGUGUUUCGACACACUAUCAUUAACUGAAUCCAUAGGUUAAUGAGGCGAACCGGGGGAACUGAAACAUCUAAGUACCCCGAGGAAAAGAAAUCAACCGAGAUUCCCCCAGUAGCGGCGAGCGAACGGGGAGCAGCCCAGAGCCUGAAUCAGUAUGUGUGUUAGUGGAAGCGUCUGGAAAGGCGCGCGAUACAGGGUGACAGCCCCGUACACAAAAAUGCACAUAUUGUGAGCUCGAUGAGUAGGGCGGGACACGUGGUAUCCUGUCUGAAUAUGGGGGGACCAUCCUCCAAGGCUAAAUACUCCUGACUGACCGAUAGUGAACCAGUACCGUGAGGGAAAGGCGAAAAGAACCCCGGCGAGGGGAGUGAAAAAGAACCUGAAACCGUGUACGUACAAGCAGUGGGAGCACGCUUAGGCGUGUGACUGCGUACCUUUGUAUAAUGGGUCAGCGACUUAUAUUCUGUAGCAAGGUUAACCGAAUAGGGGAGCCGAAGGGAAACCGAGUCUUAACUGGGCGUUAAGUUGCAGGGUAUAGACCCGAAACCCGGUGAUCUAGCCAUGGGCAGGUUGAAGGUUGGGUAACACUAACUGGAGGACCGAACCGACUAAUGUUGAAAAAUUAGCGGAUGACUUGUGGCUGGGGGUGAAAGGCCAAUCAAACCGGGAGAUAGCUGGUUCUCCCCGAAAGCUAUUUAGGUAGCGCCUCGUGAAUUCAUCUCCGGGGGUAGAGCACUGUUUCGGCAAGGGGUCAUCCCGACUUACCAACCCGAUGCAAACUGCGAAUACCGGAGAAUGUUAUCACGGGAGACACACGGCGGGUGCUAACGUCCGUCGUGAAGAGGGAAACAACCCAGACCGCCAGCUAAGGUCCCAAAGUCAUGGUUAAGUGGGAAACGAUGUGGGAAGGCCCAGACAGCGAGGAUGUUGGCUUAGAAGCAGCCAUCAUUUAAAGAAAGCGUAAUAGCUCACUGGUCGAGUCGGCCUGCGCGGAAGAUGUAACGGGGCUAAACCAUGCACCGAAGCUGCGGCAGCGACACUAUGUGUUGUUGGGUAGGGGAGCGUUCUGUAAGCCUGUGAAGGUGUGCUGUGAGGCAUGCUGGAGGUAUCAGAAGUGCGAAUGCUGACAUAAGUAACGAUAAAGCGGGUGAAAAGCCCGCUCGCCGGAAGACCAAGGGUUCCUGUCCAACGUUAAUCGGGGCAGGGUGAGUCGACCCCUAAGGCGAGGCCGAAAGGCGUAGUCGAUGGGAAACAGGUUAAUAUUCCUGUACUUGGUGUUACUGCGAAGGGGGGACGGAGAAGGCUAUGUUGGCCGGGCGACGGUUGUCCCGGUUUAAGCGUGUAGGCUGGUUUUCCAGGCAAAUCCGGAAAAUCAAGGCUGAGGCGUGAUGACGAGGCACUACGGUGCUGAAGCAACAAAUGCCCUGCUUCGGGGAAAAGCCUCUAAGCAUCAGGUAACAUCAAAUCGUACCCCAAACCGACACAGGUGGUCAGGUAGAGAAUACCAAGGCGCUUGAGAGAACUCGGGUGAAGGAACUAGGCAAAAUGGUGCCGUAACUUCGGGAGAAGGCACGCUGAUAUGUAGGUGAAGUCCCUCGCGGAUGGAGCUGAAAUCAGUCGAAGAUACCAGCUGGCUGCAACUGUUUAUUAAAAACACAGCACUGUGCAAACACGAAAGUGGACGUAUACGGUGUGACGCCUGCCCGGUGCCGGAAGGUUAAUUGAUGGGGUUAGCCGCAAGGCGAAGCUCUUGAUCGAAGCCCCGGUAAACGGCGGCCGUAACUAUAACGGUCCUAAGGUAGCGAAAUUCCUUGUCGGGUAAGUUCCGACCUGCACGAAUGGCGUAAUGAUGGCCAGGCUGUCUCCACCCGAGACUCAGUGAAAUUGAACUCGCUGUGAAGAUGCAGUGUACCCGCGGCAAGACGGAAAGACCCCGUGAACCUUUACUAUAGCUUGACACUGAACAUUGAGCCUUGAUGUGUAGGAUAGGUGGGAGGCUUUGAAGUGUGGACGCCAGUCUGCAUGGAGCCGACCUUGAAAUACCACCCUUUAAUGUUUGAUGUUCUAACGUUGACCCGUAAUCCGGGUUGCGGACAGUGUCUGGUGGGUAGUUUGACUGGGGCGGUCUCCUCCUAAAGAGUAACGGAGGAGCACGAAGGUUGGCUAAUCUGGUCGGACAUCAGGAGGUUAGUGCAAUGGCAUAAGCCAGCUUGACUGCGAGCGUGACGGCGCGAGCAGGUGCGAAAGCAGGUCAUAGUGAUCCGGUGGUUCUGAAUGGAAGGGCCAUCGCUCAACGGAUAAAAGGUACUCCGGGGAUAACAGGCUGAUACCGCCCAAGAGUUCAUAUCGACGGCGGUGUUUGGCACCUCGAUGUCGGCUCAUCACAUCCUGGGGCUGAAGUAGGUCCCAAGGGUAUGGCUGUUCGCCAUUUAAAGUGGUACGCGAGCUGGGUUUAGAACGUCGUGAGACAGUUCGGUCCCUAUCUGCCGUGGGCGCUGGAGAACUGAGGGGGGCUGCUCCUAGUACGAGAGGACCGGAGUGGACGCAUCACUGGUGUUCGGGUUGUCAUGCCAAUGGCACUGCCCGGUAGCUAAAUGCGGAAGAGAUAAGUGCUGAAAGCAUCUAAGCACGAAACUUGCCCCGAGAUGAGUUCUCCCUGACUCCUUGAGAGUCCUGAAGGAACGUUGAAGACGACGACGUUGAUAGGCCGGGUGUGUAAGCGCAGCGAUGCGUUGAGCUAACCGGUACUAAUGAACCGUGAGGCUUAACCUUACAACGCCGAAGGUGUUU
rnacentral:rRNA from 1 species